rnacentral:rRNA from 1 species
UUUAUGGAGAGUUUGAUCCUGGCUCAGGAUGAACGCUGGCGGCGUGCCUAAUACAUGCAAGUCGAGCGAACGGACGAGAAGCUUGCUUCUCUGAUGUUAGCGGCGGACGGGUGAGUAACACGUGGAUAACCUACCUAUAAGACUGGGAUAACUUCGGGAAACCGGAGCUAAUACCGGAUAAUAUUUUGAACCGCAUGGUUCAAAAGUGAAAGACGGUCUUGCUGUCACUUAUAGAUGGAUCCGCGCUGCAUUAGCUAGUUGGUAAGGUAACGGCUUACCAAGGCAACGAUGCAUAGCCGACCUGAGAGGGUGAUCGGCCACACUGGAACUGAGACACGGUCCAGACUCCUACGGGAGGCAGCAGUAGGGAAUCUUCCGCAAUGGGCGAAAGCCUGACGGAGCAACGCCGCGUGAGUGAUGAAGGUCUUCGGAUCGUAAAACUCUGUUAUUAGGGAAGAACAUAUGUGUAAGUAACUGUGCACAUCUUGACGGUACCUAAUCAGAAAGCCACGGCUAACUACGUGCCAGCAGCCGCGGUAAUACGUAGGUGGCAAGCGUUAUCCGGAAUUAUUGGGCGUAAAGCGCGCGUAGGCGGUUUUUUAAGUCUGAUGUGAAAGCCCACGGCUCAACCGUGGAGGGUCAUUGGAAACUGGAAAACUUGAGUGCAGAAGAGGAAAGUGGAAUUCCAUGUGUAGCGGUGAAAUGCGCAGAGAUAUGGAGGAACACCAGUGGCGAAGGCGACUUUCUGGUCUGUAACUGACGCUGAUGUGCGAAAGCGUGGGGAUCAAACAGGAUUAGAUACCCUGGUAGUCCACGCCGUAAACGAUGAGUGCUAAGUGUUAGGGGUUUCCGCCCUUAGUGCUGCAGCUAACGCAUUAAGCACUCCGCCUGGGGAGUACGACCGCAAGGUUGAAACUCAAAGGAAUUGACGGGGACCCGCACAAGCGGUGGAGCAUGUGGUUUAAUUCGAAGCAACGCGAAGAACCUUACCAAAUCUUGACAUCCUUUGACAACUCUAGAGAUAGAGCUUUCCCCUUCGGGGACAAAGUGACAGGUGGUGCAUGGUUGUCGUCAGCUCGUGUCGUGAGAUGUUGGGUUAAGUCCCGCAACGAGCGCAACCCUUAAGCUUAGUUGCCAUCAUUAAGUUGGGCACUCUAAGUUGACUGCCGGUGACAAACCGGAGGAAGGUGGGGAUGACGUCAAAUCAUCAUGCCCCUUAUGAUUUGGGCUACACACGUGCUACAAUGGACAAUACAAAGGGCAGCGAAACCGCGAGGUCAAGCAAAUCCCAUAAAGUUGUUCUCAGUUCGGAUUGUAGUCUGCAACUCGACUACAUGAAGCUGGAAUCGCUAGUAAUCGUAGAUCAGCAUGCUACGGUGAAUACGUUCCCGGGUCUUGUACACACCGCCCGUCACACCACGAGAGUUUGUAACACCCGAAGCCGGUGGAGUAACCUUUUAGGAGCUAGCCGUCGAAGGUGGGACAAAUGAUUGGGGUGAAGUCGUAACAAGGUAGCCGUAUCGGAAGGUGCGGCUGGAUCACCUCCUUUCU